GGUCUUUUGGCCCAAUGGCAAGGCGUCUGACUACGACAUCAUGAGUAAUCAGGAGAUUCUGGGUUCGACCCCCAGGAAGACCU